AGAAAGGGAUUGCUUGCAAUCCUGAGUAGAGUGGCGCACGGGUGAGUAACACGUAGAUAAUCUACCUUCAAGCCUGGGAUAACUAUUCGAAAGGAUAGCUAAUACCGGAUAAAGUAUUUUGACAUAAGUCAAACUAUGAAAGAUUGCCUCUUCUUGAAAGCAAUUGUUUGGAGAUGAGUCUGCGGACCAUUAGUUAGUUGGUGGGGUAAAGGCCUACCAAGGCUACGAUGGUUAGCUGGUCUGAGAGGAUGAUCAGUCACACUGGAACUGGAACACGGUCCAGACUCCUACGGGAGGCAGCAGUGAGGAAUUUUGCGCAAUGGGGGAAACCCUGACGCAGCAACGCCGCGUGAGUGAAGAAGGCCUUUGGGUCGUAAAGCUCUGUCAACUGGGAAGAAGUUACAAUUAUCCAAUAGGUAGUUGUAUUGACGGUACCAGUGGAGGAAGCGCCGGCUAACUCCGUGCCAGCAGCCGCGGUAACACGGGGGGCGCAAGCGUUAUUCGGAAUUAUUGGGCGUAAAGGGCGCGUAGGCGGUCUUGUCGGUCAGAUGUGAAAGCCCGGGGCUCAACCCCGGACGUGCAUUUGAAACAGCAAGACUUGAGUACGGGAGAGGAAAGCGGAAUUCCUGGUGUAGAGGUGAAAUUCGUAGAUAUCAGGAGGAACACCGAUGGCGAAGGCAGCUUUCUGGACCGAUACUGA
rnacentral:rRNA from 1 species